rnacentral:rRNA from 1 species
UCGCAGAGACCAGAGAGAAGCGACUGUUUACUAAAAACACAGGUCCGUGCGAAGUCGUAAGACGAGGUAUACGGACUGACGCCUGCCCGGUGCCGGAAGGUUAAGAGGACCGGUUAGCGCCCUUGGGCGCGAAGCUGAGAAUUUAAGCCCCGGUAAACGGCGGUGGUAACUAUAACCAUCCUAAGGUAGCGAAAUUCCUUGUCGGGUAAGUUCCGACCUGCACGAAUGGCGUAACGACUUCUCUGCUGUCUCCACCACAGACUCGGCGAAAUUGCAUUACGAGUAAAGAUGCUCGUUACGCGCGGCAGGACGAAAAGACCCCGGGACCUUCACUAUAGCUUGGUAUUGGUGUUCGGUACGGUUUGUGUAGGAUAGGUGGGAGACUGUGAAAGCGGCACGCUAGUGUCGUGGGAGUCGUCGUUGAAAUACCACUCUGGUCGUAUUGGACUUCUAACCUCGGACCGUGAUCCGGUUCAGGGACAGUGCCUGGUGGGUAGUUUAACUGGGGCGGUUGCCUCCUAAAGUGUAACGGAGGCGCCCAAAGGUUCCCUCGGCCUGGUUGGUAAUCAGGUGUUGAGUGUAAGUGCACAAGGGAGCUUGACUGUGAGACAGACAUGUCGAGCAGGGACGAAAGUCGGGACUAGUGAUCCGGCACCGGCAUGUGGAAGCGGUGUCGCUCAACGGAUAAAAGGUACCCCGGGGAUAACAGGCUGAUCUUCCCCAAGAGUCCAUAUCGACGGGAUGGUUUGGCACCUCGAUGUCGGCUCGUCGCAUCCUGGGGCUGGAGUAGGUCCCAAGGGUUGGGCUGUUCGCCCAUUAAAGCGGCACGCGAGCUGGGUUUAGAACGUCGUGAGACAGUUCGGUCUCUAUCCGCCGCGCGCGUUAGAAACUUGAGGAAGGCUGUCCCUAGUACGAGAGGACCGGGACGGACGAACCUCUGGUGUGCCAGUUGUUCCGCCAGGGGCAUGGCUGGUUGGCUACGUUCGGAAGGGAUAACCGCUGAAAGCAUCUAAGCGGGAAGCCUGUUCCAAGAUGAGGUUUCUCACCCCUUGAAGGGGGUAAGGUCCCCAACAGAUCAUUGGGUUGAUAGGCCGGAGCUGGAAGCGCAGUAAUGUGUGGAGGUGACCGGUACUAAUAGGCCGAGGGCUUACCAAC